GGUAAAUAAACUACUAAAAAUUAAAAAUGUCAUUCAUCAUAAGUUCCAUUCAGUAGUAAACAUUUUUUUUAAUUCCGAUUUUCCAACAAACCGUCAACAAUAUUAGGCGAAUAAUUUGCAAAUUUAUUUUCAGGAGAAAUGCAAUUUCGACGUUAUUAAAACAAACUCGUAUCGUGCGGAAUUCAUUUUACAACACAGGGUACGUAGUAUUUAUUAAGUUGGAUAUUUUUUACGCAGAAAUUCGUCAUGAAAAUUAUAUUGUUAAACGAAUCACAAUUAUAUGUACCUACCUAAAAUAUUUCCUGUCCCUGUCACAAGAUUAGGCGUUCCGGGCUAAUAACAAUUAAAAUCGACAACCGUUAAUGUUAAAACGAUAUUAUUGUAUUUCCAGGGUCUUUGUCGGCCACGUAGGCUCGACACGGAUUC